GAAAUGCGAUAAGUAAUGUGAAUUGCAGAAUUCAGUGAAUCAUCGAAUCUUUGAACGCACAUCGCGCCCGCCAGUAUUCUGGCGGGCAUGCCUGUUCGAGCGUCAUUACAACCCUCAGGCCCCCGGGCCUGGCGUUGGGGAUCGGCGGAAGCCCCCUGCGGGCACAACGCCGUCCCCCAAAUACAGUGGCGGUCCCGCCGCAGCUUCCAUUGCGUAGUAGCUAACACCUCGCAACUGGAGAGCGGCGCGGCCACGCCGUAAAACACCCAACUUCUGAAUGUUGACCUCGAAUCAGGUAGGAAUACCCGCUGAACUUAAGC
rnacentral:misc_RNA from 1 species